GUUUGAUUGUGAUUGUUAUAAUCUGCCUGGAAUUGUGUUGCUGAACUGAAUUUCAUUGAAUUGAUGAUCCUGGAAAUGAUUCCUGUUUGUAUAUUGGUUAUGAUGUGCUCUGAAGGAAAUUGAUGAAUCUGGUUGCUGGAAUAAGUUGGGGGUGAUACUGAUUUGAUGGGAAAUUAUGGGUUGAGUGUAGCCUUAGGUUUUGUGAGAGGGAUGUAUAACUUUCGGAAUUAGAAAAAAAAAAUAAUAGGAUAGUUGAUUAAAUCAAAUAAAAAUACUUGGGACUUGUUGGGAACCUUCUCUGUUGGUAGGAUAGAGAGAACCUAAAAACCA
rnacentral:lncRNA from 1 species